GGUUAAGCGACUAAGCGUACACGGUGGAUGCCCUGGCAGUCAGAGGCGAUGAAGGACGUGCUAAUCUGCGAUAAGCGUCGGUGAGGUGAUAUGAACCGUUAUAACCGGCGAUUUCCGAAUGGGGAAACCCAGUGUGUUUCGACACACUAUCAUUAACUGAAUCCAUAGGUUAAUGAGGCGAACCGGGGGAACUGAAACAUCUAAGUACCCCGAGGAAAAGAAAUCAACCGAGAUUCCCCCAGUAGCGGCGAGCGAACGGGGAGGAGCCCAGAGCCUGAAUCAGUGUGUGUGUUAGUGGAAGCGUCUGGAAAGGCGCGCGAUACAGGGUGACAGCCCCGUACACAAAAAUGCACAUAUUGUGAGCUCGAUGAGUAGGGCGGGACACGUGGUAUCCUGUCUGAAUAUGGGGGGACCAUCCUCCAAGGCUAAAUACUCCUGACUGACCGAUAGUGAACCAGUACCGUGAGGGAAAGGCGAAAAGAACCCCGGCGAGGGGAGUGAAAAAGAACCUGAAACCGUGUACGUACAAGCAGUGGGAGCCUCUUAAUGGGGUGACUGCGUACCUUUUGUAUAAUGGGUCAGCGACUUAUAUUCUGUAGCAAGGUUAACCGAAUAGGGGAGCCGAAGGGAAACCGAGUCUUAACUGGGCGUUAAGUUGCAGGGUAUAGACCCGAAACCCGGUGAUCUAGCCAUGGGCAGGUUGAAGGUUGGGUAACACUAACUGGAGGACCGAACCGACUAAUGUUGAAAAAUUAGCGGAUGACUUGUGGCUGGGGGUGAAAGGCCAAUCAAACCGGGAGAUAGCUGGUUCUCCCCGAAAGCUAUUUAGGUAGCGCCUCGUGAAUUCAUCUCCGGGGGUAGAGCACUGUUUCGGCAAGGGGGUCAUCCCGACUUACCAACCCGAUGCAAACUGCGAAUACCGGAGAAUGUUAUCACGGGAGACACACGGCGGGUGCUAACGUCUGUCGUGAAGAGGGAAACAACCCAGACCGCCAGCUAAGGUCCCAAAGUCAUGGUUAAGUGGGAAACGAUGUGGGAAGGCCCAGACAGCCAGGAUGUUGGCUUAGAAGCAGCCAUCAUUUAAAGAAAGCGUAAUAGCUCACUGGUCGAGUCGGCCUGCGCGGAAGAUGUAACGGGGCUAAACCAUGCACCGAAGCUGCGGCAGCGACACUAUGUGUUGUUGGGUAGGGGAGCGUUCUGUAAGCCUGUGAAGGUGGCCUGUGAGGGUUGCUGGAGGUAUCAGAAGUGCGAAUGCUGACAUAAGUAACGAUAAAGCGGGUGAAAAGCCCGCUCGCCGGAAGACCAAGGGUUCCUGUCCAACGUUAAUCGGGGCAGGGUGAGUCGACCCCUAAGGCGAGGCCGAAAGGCGUAGUCGAUGGGAAACAGGUUAAUAUUCCUGUACUUGGUGUUACUGCGAAGGGGGGACGGAGAAGGCUAUGUUGGCCGGGCGACGGUUGUCCCGGUUUAAGCGUGUAGGCUGGUUUUCCAGGCAAAUCCGGAAAACCAAGGCUGAGGCGUGAUGACGAGGCACUACGGUGCUGAAGCGACAAAUGCCCUGCUUCCAGGAAAAGCCUCUAAGCAUCAGGUAACAUCAAAUCGUACCCCAAACCGACACAGGUGGUCAGGUAGAGAAUACCAAGGCGCUUGAGAGAACUCGGGUGAAGGAACUAGGCAAAAUGGUGCCGUAACUUCGGGAGAAGGCACGCUGAUAUGUAGGUGAAGCGACUUGCUCGUGGAGCUGAAAUCAGUCGAAGAUACCAGCUGGCUGCAACUGUUUAUUAAAAACACAGCACUGUGCAAACACGAAAGUGGACGUAUACGGUGUGACGCCUGCCCGGUGCCGGAAGGUUAAUUGAUGGGGUUAGCGGUAACGCGAAGCUCUUGAUCGAAGCCCCGGUAAACGGCGGCCGUAACUAUAACGGUCCUAAGGUAGCGAAAUUCCUUGUCGGGUAAGUUCCGACCUGCACGAAUGGCGUAAUGAUGGCCAGGCUGUCUCCACCCGAGACUCAGUGAAAUUGAACUCGCUGUGAAGAUGCAGUGUACCCGCGGCAAGACGGAAAGACCCCGUGAACCUUUACUAUAGCUUGACACUGAACAUUGAGCCUUGAUGUGUAGGAUAGGUGGGAGGCUUUGAAGUGUGGACGCCAGUCUGCAUGGAGCCGACCUUGAAAUACCACCCUUUAAUGUUUGAUGUUCUAACGUGGGCCCCUAAUCGGGGUUGCGGACAGUGUCUGGUGGGUAGUUUGACUGGGGCGGUCUCCUCCUAAAGAGUAACGGAGGAGCACGAAGGUUGGCUAAUCCUGGUCGGACAUCAGGAGGUUAGUGCAAUGGCAUAAGCCAGCUUGACUGCGAGCGUGACGGCGCGAGCAGGUGCGAAAGCAGGUCAUAGUGAUCCGGUGGUUCUGAAUGGAAGGGCCAUCGCUCAACGGAUAAAAGGUACUCCGGGGAUAACAGGCUGAUACCGCCCAAGAGUUCAUAUCGACGGCGGUGUUUGGCACCUCGAUGUCGGCUCAUCACAUCCUGGGGCUGAAGUAGGUCCCAAGGGUAUGGCUGUUCGCCAUUUAAAGUGGUACGCGAGCUGGGUUUAGAACGUCGUGAGACAGUUCGGUCCCUAUCUGCCGUGGGCGCUGGAGAACUGAGGGGGGCUGCUCCUAGUACGAGAGGACCGGAGUGGACGCAUCACUGGUGUUCGGGUUGUCAUGCCAAUGGCACUGCCCGGUAGCUAAAUGCGGAAGAGAUAAGUGCUGAAAGCAUCUAAGCACGAAACUUGCCCCGAGAUGAGUUCUCCCUGAGACUUAGAGUCUCCUGAAGGAACGUUGAAGACGACGACGUUGAUAGGCCGGGUGUGUAAGCGCAGCGAUGCGUUGAGCUAACCGGUACUAAUGAACCGUGAGGCUUAACCUU
rnacentral:rRNA from 1 species